rnacentral:tRNA from 1 species
UCUAGUUUAGCAUAUAGGAAUGCGUGGGAUUGUAAAUCCCUUUAAAGCUGUUCGGUUC